rnacentral:rRNA from 1 species
GGGUUGUGAGGUUAAGCGACUAAGCGUACACGGUGGAUGCCCUGGCAGUCAGAGGCGAUGAAGGACGUGCUAAUCUGCGAUAAGCGUCGGUAAGGUGAUAUGAACCGUUAUAACCGGCGAUUUCCGAAUGGGGAAACCCAGUGUGUUUCGACACACUAUCAUUAACUGAAUCCAUAGGUUAAUGAGGCGAACCGGGGGAACUGAAACAUCUAAGUACCCCGAGGAAAAGAAAUCAACCGAGAUUCCCCCAGUAGCGGCGAGCGAACGGGGAGGAGCCCAGAGCCUGAAUCAGUGUGUGUGUUAGUGGAAGCGUCUGGAAAGGCGCGCGAUACAGGGUGACAGCCCCGUACACAAAAAUGCACAUGCUGUGAGCUCGAUGAGUAGGGCGGGACACGUGGUAUCCUGUCUGAAUAUGGGGGGACCAUCCUCCAAGGCUAAAUACUCCUGACUGACCGAUAGUGAACCAGUACCGUGAGGGAAAGGCGAAAAGAACCCCGGCGAGGGGAGUGAAAAAGAACCUGAAACCGUGUACGUACAAGCAGUGGGAGCACAGAGCAAUCUGUGUGACUGCGUACCUUUUGUAUAAUGGGUCAGCGACUUAUAUUCUGUAGCAAGGUUAACCGAAUAGGGGAGCCGAAGGGAAACCGAGUCUUAACUGGGCGUUAAGUUGCAGGGUAUAGACCCGAAACCCGGUGAUCUAGCCAUGGGCAGGUUGAAGGUUGGGUAACACUAACUGGAGGACCGAACCGACUAAUGUUGAAAAAUUAGCGGAUGACUUGUGGCUGGGGGUGAAAGGCCAAUCAAACCGGGAGAUAGCUGGUUCUCCCCGAAAGCUAUUUAGGUAGCGCCUCGUGAAUUCAUCUCCGGGGGUAGAGCACUGUUUCGGCAAGGGGGUCAUCCCGACUUACCAACCCGAUGCAAACUGCGAAUACCGGAGAAUGUUAUCACGGGAGACACACGGCGGGUGCUAACGUCCGUCGUGAAGAGGGAAACAACCCAGACCGCCAGCUAAGGUCCCAAAGUCAUGGUUAAGUGGGAAACGAUGUGGGAAGGCCCAGACAGCCAGGAUGUUGGCUUAGAAGCAGCCAUCAUUUAAAGAAAGCGUAAUAGCUCACUGGUCGAGUCGGCCUGCGCGGAAGAUGUAACGGGGCUAAACCAUGCACCGAAGCUGCGGCAGCGACGCUGAUGCGUUGUUGGGUAGGGGAGCGUUCUGUAAGCCUGUGAAGGUGUGCUGUGAGGCAUGCUGGAGGUAUCAGAAGUGCGAAUGCUGACAUAAGUAACGAUAAAGCGGGUGAAAAGCCCGCUCGCCGGAAGACCAAGGGUUCCUGUCCAACGUUAAUCGGGGCAGGGUGAGUCGACCCCUAAGGCGAGGCCGAAAGGCGUAGUCGAUGGGAAACAGGUUAAUAUUCCUGUACUUGGUGUUACUGCGAAGGGGGGACGGAGAAGGCUAUGUUGGCCGGGCGACGGUUGUCCCGGUUUAAGCGUGUAGGCUGGUUUUCCAGGCAAAUCCGGAAAACUAAGGCUGAGGCGUGAUGACGAGGCACUACGGUGCUGAAGCAACAAAUGCCCUGCUUCCAGGAAAAGCCUCUAAGCAUCAGGUAACAUCAAAUCGUACCCCAAACCGACACAGGUGGUCAGGUAGAGAAUACCAAGGCGCUUGAGAGAACUCGGGUGAAGGAACUAGGCAAAAUGGUGCCGUAACUUCGGGAGAAGGCACGCUGAUAUGUAGGUGAAGUCCCUCGCGGAUGGAGCUGAAAUCAGUCGAAGAUACCAGCUGGCUGCAACUGUUUAUUAAAAACACAGCACUGUGCAAACACGAAAGUGGACGUAUACGGUGUGACGCCUGCCCGGUGCCGGAAGGUUAAUUGAUGGGGUCAGCGCAAGCGAAGCUCUUGAUCGAAGCCCCGGUAAACGGCGGCCGUAACUAUAACGGUCCUAAGGUAGCGAAAUUCCUUGUCGGGUAAGUUCCGACCUGCACGAAUGGCGUAAUGAUGGCCAGGCUGUCUCCACCCGAGACUCAGUGAAAUUGAACUCGCUGUGAAGAUGCAGUGUACCCGCGGCAAGACGGAAAGACCCCGUGAACCUUUACUAUAGCUUGACACUGAACAUUGAGCCUUGAUGUGUAGGAUAGGUGGGAGGCUUUGAAGUGUGGACGCCAGUCUGCAUGGAGCCGACCUUGAAAUACCACCCUUUAAUGUUUGAUGUUCUAACGUUGACCCGUAAUCCGGGUUGCGGACAGUGUCUGGUGGGUAGUUUGACUGGGGCGGUCUCCUCCUAAAGAGUAACGGAGGAGCACGAAGGUUGGCUAAUCCUGGUCGGACAUCAGGAGGUUAGUGCAAUGGCAUAAGCCAGCUUGACUGCGAGCGUGACGGCGCGAGCAGGUGCGAAAGCAGGUCAUAGUGAUCCGGUGGUUCUGAAUGGAAGGGCCAUCGCUCAACGGAUAAAAGGUACUCCGGGGAUAACAGGCUGAUACCGCCCAAGAGUUCAUAUCGACGGCGGUGUUUGGCACCUCGAUGUCGGCUCAUCACAUCCUGGGGCUGAAGUAGGUCCCAAGGGUAUGGCUGUUCGCCAUUUAAAGUGGUACGCGAGCUGGGUUUAGAACGUCGUGAGACAGUUCGGUCCCUAUCUGCCGUGGGCGCUGGAGAACUGAGGGGGGCUGCUCCUAGUACGAGAGGACCGGAGUGGACGCAUCACUGGUGUUC